GGGGGCGAAUGGACUCGACUAUAGCAUGUACUGCUAGAGUGGCAUGCCGAGGUUGUCGGGAGGCCUCGUUAAACACCUGACAAAAAAUCAAACGCCGAAGAUACAAACAUCGGUGUGGGCGCAAGCCGUCUCGACAUCAACAUGUUGAUGCCGAUGCCGGCCUUCGCGCUCAACUAAAAGCACUGCCCCUGUAAAGGGGCAGCCCGUCUACCGGGUCAGCCCGCGGGCUGGGUAGACGAACUCAGCGGGAUCGCCGGGAAUCCCGUCCUCGGAAACCCGGUUAAACUCCAGGGGACUGGCCGGUCUGCACCGUGUCUGUGCGGGGCAGUGAGGCGAGACUCAAAUCGCAGACUAAGCAUGUAGAGGCUUUAGUGGGUCAUCUGUAGGACGCGGGUUCGAUUCCCGCCGCCUCCACCA
rnacentral:tmRNA from 1 species